GCUGCUCGAAGAUCUUAGUGGCGGACGGGUGAGUAACGCGGGGGCAAUCUGCCCGUAAGAGGGGGAUAACACCUAGAAAUGGGUGCUAAUACCGCAUAACAUCAUAGGGUUGCAUGACCUUGUGAUCAAAGGAGAAAUCCGCUUAUGGAUGAGCCCGCGUCUGAUUAGCUAGUUGGUGGGGUAACGGCCUACCAAGGCGACGAUCAGUAGCCGGCCUGAGAGGGUGAUCGGCCACACUGGAACUGAGACACGGUCCAGACUCCUACGGGAGGCAGCAGUGGGGAAUCUUCCGCAAUGGGCGAAAGCCUGACGGAGCAACGCCGCGUGAGUGAUGAAGGCCUUCGGGUUGUAAAACUCUGUCUUCAGGGAAGAAAAAAAUGACGGUACCUGAGGAGGAAGCCACGGCUAACUACGUGCCAGCAGCCGCGGUAAUACGUAGGUGGCAAGCGUUGUCCGGAAUUACUGGGCGUAAAGAGCGCGUAGGCGGGGAUUUAAGUCAGGAGUGAAAACUACCGGCUCAACCGGUAGCCUGCUCUUGAAACUGAAUCUCUUGAGGGUAUGAGAGGAAAGCGGAAUUCCCAGUGUAGCGGUGAAAUGCGUAGAUAUUGGGAGGAACACCAGUGGCGAAGGCGGCUUUCUGGCAUACAACUGACGCUGAGGCGCGAAAGCGUGGGGAGUAAACGGGAUUAGAUACCCCGGUAGUCCACGCCGUAAACGAUGGGCACUAGGUGUAGGAGGUAUCGACCCCUUCUGUGCCGUAGUUAACACGAUAAGUGCCCCGCCUGGGGAGUACGGCCGCAAGGUUGGAACUCAAAGGAAUUGACGGGGGCCCGCACAAGCGGUGGAGUAUGUGGUUUAAUUCGACGCAACGCGAAGAACCUUACCAGGGCUUGACAUCC
rnacentral:rRNA from 1 species